CCUACGGGAGGCUGCAGUGGGGAAUAUUGCACAAUGGGGGAAACCCUGAUGCAGCGACGCCGCGUGAGUGAGGAAGUAUUUCGGUAUGUUAAGCUCUAUCAGCAGGGAAGAAAAUGACGGUACCUGACUCAGAAGCCCCGUCUAACUACGUGCCAGCAGACGCGGUAAUACGUAGGCGGCAAGCGUUAUCCAGAUUUACUGGGUGUAAAGUGAGCGUAGACGGCUAAUCAAGUCAGAAGUGAAAACCCAGGGCUCAACUUUGGUACUGCUUUUGAAACUGAGUAGCUAGAGUGCAGGAGAGGUAAGCGGAAUUCCUAGUGUAGCGGUGAAAUGCGUAGAUAUUAGGAGGAACACCAGUUGCGAAGGCGGCUUACUGAACUGUAACUGACGUUGAGGCUCGAAAGCGUGGGGAGCAAACAGGAUUAGAUACCCUUGUAGUC
rnacentral:rRNA from 1 species